UUUCCUUGCAUUCUUGUGACAAAAUUAUUAAAAUGAAUUGAAUGAAAUGAUAUUUAUUUCUCAUCAUCACAAAGGAAAAGUACAGGAUAUACAGCUUGCUUUGCAGACAACACAUCACAACAGCCAUCAAGAGAUGUGCCCACAUAGCCCUGACUGAUUUUGUCUUCUAAUGUCAAUAAAUGAGAGUAUUUCUCAUCUUCACAGCAAGCUGCAAGUGUUGCACGAGAAUAAGCAUCUAUAGCAGUAAGGACCGGGAGAAUUGGCGCGCCCGUGAGGCGGCCUAUGUCCAGCAGUGGAUAAAUGUGGGCUGAAUAUGAUGAUGAGCAGUAUGCAGUCGGUGA